GGGGUGGGGAUGGUCGUGCGCGCUCGGACGCUCGGACUUCACUACACAGCGCCGCGCAGAUGCCCUGAAUUCCACUCAGAAUAAGACUGCCUUUGCCAGAUAACUGCUGCAAAGUAAUAACUUGUGCUGCGUGCACGAACUGUUUGUUGUGAAGUACAGAUUCUCCAGUGAGGACGCAGAGCGACGGCCGCGGGGAAGGACGCAGGGUCAGCGCAGACGAAACCACGUGGGAAGCUCGGAUGCGGGCGAAGCCCCACAGGCUUCCGAGGACCCCCGACUGCCCGGAACUCCCCCGUCGAGGUCCCCCGCUGGAGGGUCUCCCCAUCUCAGUGGGUCCAUUUUGGAAAUGACUACGGUUAGCUGUUCUGUUUUGUUCUCUGGGGUUGGUGCGGAUCUCUGCUGUGGAUUGUGUUAAUUCCAGCUGCCGAGACAAAACACCGUGGACUGUGCUGCUACCACAGAAUUGUCUCACACUUAUCGGGUGGAAGGCCAAACUCGGGUGUCACGUUGUUCUGUUCUGGUGACAGUUCUUGAUCCCGCCCACAUCUCUGCCCUCUGCCCGGGCUCACAGGGCCUGUUUGCGUGCAGAGAAGCGCACCGAGCUCGCGGAGUCCCUUCUGACCGGAUGGGACAGAGAAUAUGCAGCUGUGAUGCCACUGAUUCUGUGUCCCACAUCCCUCCAGCGAGGUAGCUACCAUGAGCUCAUCAAACAGGUGUACAGUGGCAAGAGGAGAGGAGGAUGCCACUGGAACCUGAUGAGAGACAUAGCUGUUGAAGAGAGACUCAAUGGAAGCUCAAACUACAGAGAUACAAGUGUAUUCCCAGUUAGGCAGUGGAAUAAAAGUAGCUUGACUUCUCUUUGCUCCCUCUGUAUCAUUUUUGUCCAUGCCUCUCAUUGGCUG
rnacentral:lncRNA from 1 species